rnacentral:rRNA from 1 species
CUUGCUUCUCUUGAGAGCGGCGGACGGGUGAGUAAUGCCUAGGAAUCUGCCUGGUAGUGGGGGAUAACGUCCGGAAACGGACGCUAAUACCGCAUACGUCCUACGGGAGAAAGCAGGGGACCUUCGGGCCUUGCGCUAUCAGAUGAGCCUAGGUCGGAUUAGCUAGUUGGUGGGGUAAUGGCUCACCAAGGCGACGAUCCGUAACUGGUCUGAGAGGAUGAUCAGUCACACUGGAACUGAGACACGGUCCAGACUCCUACGGGAGGCAGCAGUGGGGAAUAUUGGACAAUGGGCGAAAGCCUGAUCCAGCCAUGCCGCGUGUGUGAAGAAGGUCUUCGGAUUGUAAAGCACUUUAAGUUGGGAGGAAGGGUUGUAGAUUAAUACUUUGCUGUUUUGACGUUACCGACAGAAUAAGCACCGGCUAACUCUGUGCCAGCAGCCGCGGUAAUACAGAGGGUGCAAGCGUUAAUCGGAAUUACUGGGCGUAAAGCGCGCGUAGGUGGUUCGUUAAGUUGGAUGUGAAAUCCCCGGGCUCAACCUGGGAACUGCAUUCAAAACUGACUGAACUAGAGUAUGGUAGAGGGUGGUGGAAUUUCCUGUGUAGCGGUGAAAUGCGUAGAUAUAGGAA